ensembl:snRNA U6 U6 spliceosomal RNA
GUGCUUGAUUCAGCAGUACGCAUACUAAAAUUGGAACAAUAUAGAGAAGACUAACAUAGUCCCUGUGCAAGGAUGAUAUGCAAAUUUGUGAAGCAUUCCAUAUUAUU